rnacentral:snRNA from 1 species
AUGCUCGCUAAGGCAGCACAUAUACGAAAACUGGAACAUACAGAAAAGAUUAGCAUGGACCCUGCGCAAGGAUGACACGGAAAUUCGUGAAGCGUUCAAAUGGUUC